UACGGAGGGGGCUAGCGUUAUUCGGAAUUACUGGGCGUAAAGCGCACGUAGGCGGCUUUGCAAGUUAGAGGUGAAAGCCCGGGGCUCAACUCCGGAAUUGCCUUUAAAACUGCAUCGCUAGAAUUGUGGAGAGGUAAGUGGAAUUCCGAGUGUAGAGGUGAAAUUCGUAGAUAUUCGGAAGAACACCAGUGGCGAAGGCGACUUACUGGACACAUAUUGACGCUGAGGUGCGAAAGCGUGGGGAGCAAACAGG
rnacentral:rRNA from 1 species